rnacentral:lncRNA from 1 species
AAAGGAGAACAGCACAGGGCGGGGAAAGACUGUGGAGAAGGACAGGAAGCAGACCGCAGGCCACACCCCGGGAGGGAAAUAUGUCGCUGGCCCUGGAGUUUGACCGGAAGAAGGCCUGGUGCCCAGAGGAGCACGCAGAGCAGAAGCCGUGGGGCGGGCGCCCUGGUGCAGGGUGUGAGGCUCACACGUGGGGCAGAGAGAUACAGCGAGGGUGCAGAUGGAGCAGCAUGCAGCGGUCACCUGGGCGACUACCUGAAUCCCGGGAGAAAGAUUUCCCAUGUAGGCAGAGAAGCAGAGCCAGUCCCAGCACCUGAAAUGAAGCUCCCCCGCUGCCAUCCCAAGCUCCUAGGGCAGAGAAGGUGACUGUGUGGGCACCAGAAGCACCCCCCCACCAUGGAAAUGAGAAGACUUAUAAACAAGCCUCAAAAACAGACUUCUGGAUCACCUACAGCAACCCCAAAGGGAAACAAGAUGGAACAAUCUGAUACUCAACCACCUGGACUCUCUGAACUGGCAACAAAAGAGGACCUGGGAAAAAUGAAAUCAGAAAUAAUUACUCAAAUAACGGCAAAGAUUUUGCUCAUGGUGCAAGACAUGGUUAAUAAAUCUAGAGAGGACACAGAUAAAAAAAUAGAGGAGCUGAGGAGCAUGAUGGAAUCCCAACAUAGGAAACAAAUGGAAUUCAUAAAACAGAUACAAACAGAUGUUUAGGAGAUUAAAAAACUCCAUCAAAAGUCUGCACAGCAGAAUGAACCAAUGUGAGGAUAGAAUUUCAGAUAUAGAGGAAAAGAUUGCAAUUAGUGACCAGGAAAAGAAAAAUUGCUUUAAAAUUGUAAGCGAACACGAGAAAUCAAUCCAGCAGCUGCUAGAUGAUACAAAGAAGAAUAACAUAAGACUGAUUGGAGUCAAUGAAGAAAGAGGAGAGAGUGCAGAUGACAUAAAAAAAAAAAACUGUUCACAGAAGUGAUGGUAGAAAACUUCCCAAGGAGGGGAAAAGAACUUGACAUAUAGAUAAGUGAGGCAUAUAGGACUCCAGCUAGCCUUAAUCAAAAAAAUCUACACAUAGGCAUAUAAUAGUUAGGAUUCCAGAAAUCCAACAGAAGAACAAAAUUCUACAAGUAGUGAGAGAAAAGAAACAAAUCACAUACAAAGGAAAGCCCAUCAGAAUCACAGCAGACUUCUCAGUGCAAACCCUCAAGGCAAGAAGAGCUUGGAGUGAUGUAUUUCAAGCCCUAAAGGAAAACAGCCUCCAACCCAGAUGGAUGUACCCUGAAAAACUAUCUUUCAAAACUGAUGGAGAAAUAAGAUACUUUCGUGAUAAAGAGCACCUCAGGAACUUGAUGAAUAUCAAACCGGCACUCCAAAAAAUUUUAGACAAUACCCUAGGAAAAGACAAUGAGGAUCACAACCCCAGGAAACCCAGCAGAAUGAAUCCAUUGGGUGUGAGAAAUUAAACGCAAAGGGGGAGAACCCAAC